rnacentral:rRNA from 1 species
GAGUUUGGAACCUGGCUCAGAUUGAACGCUGGCGGCAUGCCUUACACAUGCAAGUCGAACGGUAACAGGUUAAGCUGACGAGUGGCGAACGGGUGAGUAAUGUAUCGGAACGUGCCCAGUCGUGGGGGAUAACUGCUCGAAAGAGCAGCUAAUACCGCAUACGACCUGAGAGUGAAAGCGGGGGAUCGCAAGACCUCGCGCGAUUGGAGCGGCCGAUAUCAGAUUAGGUAGUUGGUGAGGUAAAGGCUCACCAAGCCGACGAUCUGUAGCUGGUCUGAGAGGACGACCAGCCACACUGGGACUGAGACACGGCCCAGACUCCUACGGGAGGCAGCAGUGGGGAAUUUUGGACAAUGGGCGCAAGCCUGAUCCAGCCAUGCCGCGUGCGGGAAGAAGGCCUUCGGGUUGUAAACCGCUUUUGUCAGGGAAGAAAAGGUUCUGGCUAAUACCUGGGACUCAUGACGGUACCUGAAGAAUAAGCACCGGCUACUAC